GACGAACGCUGGCGGCGUGCCUAAUACAUGCAAGUCGAACGCUUCUUUCCUCCCGAGUGCUUGCACUCAAUUGGAAAGAGGAGUGGCGGACGGGUGAGUAACACGUGGGUAACCUACCCAUCAGAGGGGGAUAACACUUGGAAACAGGUGCUAAUACCGCAUAACAGUUUAUGCCGCAUGGCAUAAGAGUGAAAGGCGCUUUCGGGUGUCGCUGAUGGAUGACCCGCGGUGCAUUAGCUAGUUGGUGAGGUAACGGCUCACCAAGGCCACGAUGCAUAGCCGACCUGAGAGGGUGAUCGGCCACACUGGGACCGAGACACGGCCCAGACUCCUACGGGAGGCAGCAGUAGGGAAUCUUCGGCAAUGGACGAAAGUCUGACUGAGCAACGCCGCGUGAGUGAAGAAGGUUUUCGGAUCGUAAAACUCUGUUGUUAGAGAAGAACAAGGACGUUAGUAACUGAACGUCCCCUGACGGUAUCUAACCAGAAAGCCACGGCUAACUACGUGC
rnacentral:rRNA from 1 species